GAUGAACGCUGGCGGCGUGCCUAAUACAUGCAAGUCGAGCGAACAGACGAGGAGCUUGCUCCUCUGACGUUAGCGGCGGACGGGUGAGUAACACGUGGAUAACCUACCUAUAAGACUGGGAUAACUUCGGGCAACCGGGGCUAAUACCGGAUAAUAUAUUGAACCGCAUGGUUCAAUAGUGACAGACGGUUUUGCUGUCACUUAUAGAUGGUUCCGCGCCGCAUUAGCUAGUUGGUAAGGUAACGGCUUACCAAGGCAACGAUGCGUAGCCGACCUGAGAGGGUGAUCGGCCACACUGGAACUGAGACACGGUCCAGACUCCUACGGGAGGCAGCAGUAGGGAAUCUUCCGCAAUGGGCGAAAGCCUGACGGAGCAACGCCGCGUGAGUGAUGAAGGUCUUCGGAUCGUAAAACUCUGUGAUUAGGGAAGAACAAAUGCGUAAGUAACUAUGCACGUCUUGACGGUACCUAAUCAGAAAGCCACGGCUAACUACGUG
rnacentral:rRNA from 1 species